AUGUUAAUACGAUGGCAGGGAGGGAGGGGGGAGAGGGGGGCGGUGUCACCGGCAAAGCUUCACAACCAGAGCCAUAGAGCUAAAAAGAGUCGCGACACUCCCAUUGGACUGCGUUGUACGCUGUUUGCCGCCCACUUCCGGGGUAUGCAGCCUCGCAUAGUUCCAAAAAGCCAUUCUAUGGCGUCGGACAUCAUUCACUUCCAUUGCUGACUCUCGAGUAACUUCUGAGGCGGCUGCUGCUGGAGGCGAUGACUGCUUGAGCUGGCUGAUGUUGGCGAAGGAUGGUGAUGGCGGCUGCUGCUUGUGACGGCUGCUGAUAAUGUUGGCCUCUGCUGGCGCUGGCAGCUGGUGGCGGCUGCUGAUAAUGCUGGAAUAAGAGGAGACUGGAGGCUGUGGAGACUGCGGACGGUGUGCCGGGAAUGGAGUGGCCGAGUACAUCCAUGGCAACCAGUAAGGUGUUCGGCAGUGGCCUAGAUGGUAUGACCUUAGGUGAGGAGGUCUGCUGUGUGGAAAUCGCCUUCUUGGUCUGACUCUUGCUGCCAAGCUCAUGGCAUGAGGGAAGGUUGCUGUCCAGACUCAUGGCCUCUCUUUCCAGCUGUUCCACUACGUUGGAGGAUUCCAUAAGGGAAUCACUCGUCUUGGAACGGAAGAGCUGCUCCACGUACUGCAGGAGAGUGAACAGCUCAUCGGAUGGCCGUGCACAUUGGCAAUCCUCACAGAGCGAGAAGCUGAUGACCCUCUUUGCUACGUAUCCUGCCAGAUGGUAGAGGACACAAGACUCGGUCUUUGUGAGGUCAGGUGGUGAUGGGUCUACCAGCUGCUCCACUCUCACAACCUCAGAAGCACUGCAGUUGCUGUUCUUGUUGUCCAAGAAGUCCGCCAAGUGGUCUGAUGCAUCAUCCAGAUCUUCCUGGAUCUCCAGGAUCCUUGUUGUGGCCAUCAUCAGUCCUAUCUGCGACAUUAUAAUAUGCUGUGAAUGGUUUGCCCUAUAUAUAGUGUUACCUGCUGUGUCCAUUGUUGAAUAUAUUGUCGCCCUAUUUCGAUUCAUCUGCUUUUUAGUGUCCAGGACUCAGAUGAAGAGGAUGUUAGUAUGCGUUGUCGAGAGGAACUGCCCUACAGUGACUGGCCAUAGUGCAUACUGGAACUCCACAGAUAUCUUGCUGGACCAGCAGUAUCGUUUUUGUGGCCAUCACAGGUUUCAGUGGAGCGCCCGCCCCCC